UGAUAGGCUCUCUCAACUAUCAAUAGUGUCCUAUACUAGAACAAAAAGACCGCCAUGUUAUUUAAUUAUUGUUAAGGCUUUUGUAACUUCUUUCAAAUAAAAUAUUUGGAACACUGUCAAGAGUUUUUCCUACCUCUAAUAAAAUCACCAAACAGCCUGAGUCUCUUCCAAGAUCGUGAUACCCAUGAGCCCUAAAUUCACCAC
rnacentral:lncRNA from 1 species